rnacentral:rRNA from 1 species
ACAGCAGUCGCCGCGGUAAUACGGAGGGGGCUAGCGUUGUUCGGAAUUACUGGGCGUAAAGCGCACGUAGGCGGCUUGGUAAGUUAGAGGUGAAAGCCCAGGGCUCAACCCUGGAAUUGCCUUUAAGACUGCCGAGCUAAUAGGUGAGAGAGGUAAGUGGAAUUCCGAGUGUAGAGGUGAAAUUCGUAGAUAUUCGGAAGAACACCAGUGGCGAAGGCGGCUUACUGGUUCAUUCUAGACGCUGAGGUGCGAAAGCGUGGGGAGCAAACAGGAUUAGAUACCCGUGUAGUCCCUGUCUCUUAUAC